rnacentral:misc_RNA from 1 species
GAUGAAGAACGUAGCGAAAUGCGAUACGUAGUGUGAAUUGCAGAAUUCAGUGAAUCAUCGAAUCUUUGAACGCACAUUGCACCUCUCGGUAUUCCGGGAGGUAUGCCUGUUCGAGCGUCAUUUGUACCCUCAAGCUCUGCUUGGUGUUGGGUGUUUGUUCCACCUCUGUGUGUGAACUCGCCUCAAAACAAUUGGCAGCCGGCGUACUUGUUUCGGAGCGCAGCACAUUUUGCGAUCCAGAUCAACGUACAGCGGCAUCCAAGAAGCCUUAUUUAACGCUCUUGACCUCGGAUCAGGUAGGGAUACCCGCUGAACUUAAGCAUAUCAAUAAGCGGAGGA